UACGGGGGGGGCAAGCGUUGUUCGGAAUUACUGGGCGUAAAGGGCUCGUAGGCGGCCAACUAAGUCAGACGUGAAAUCCCUCGGCUUAACCGGGGAACUGCGUCUGAUACUGGAUGGCUUGAGUUUGGGAGAGGGAUGCGGAAUUCCAGGUGUAGCGGUGAAAUGCGUAGAUAUCGAGAGGAACACCUGCGGCGAAGGCGGGUUGCUGGGCUGACACUGACGCUGAUGCGCGAAAGCCAGGGGAGCGAACGGG
rnacentral:rRNA from 1 species